rnacentral:misc_RNA from 1 species
GAUGAAGAACGCAGCGAAAUGCGAUAAGUAAUGUGAAUUGCAGAAUUCAGUGAAUCAUCGAAUCUUUGAACGCACAUUGCGCCCGCCAGUAUUCUGGCGGGCAUGCCUGUUCGAGCGUCAUUUCAACCCUCAAGCCCCCGGGCUUGGUGUUGGGGAUCGGCGUGCCCUCGCGGCGCGCCGUCCCCUAAAUCUAGUGGCGGUCUCGCUGUAGCUUCCUCUGCGUAGUAGCAACACUCGCACUGGAUCGCAGCGCGGCCACGCCGUUAAACCCCCCACUUCUGAAAGUUUGACCUCGGAUCAGGUAGGAAUACCCGCUGAACUUAAGCAUAUCAAUACGGAGGA